rnacentral:rRNA from 1 species
GACGAACGCUGGCGGCGUGCUUAACACAUGCAAGUCGAACGGAAAGGCCCUGCUUUUGUGGGGUGCUCGAGUGGCGAACGGGUGAGUAACACGUGAGUAACCUGCCCUUGACUUUGGGAUAACUUCAGGAAACUGGGGCUAAUACCGGAUAGGAGCUCCUGCUGCAUGGUGGGGGUUGGAAAGUUUCGGCGGUUGGGGAUGGACUCGCGGCUUAUCAGCUUGUUGGUGGGGUAGUGGCUUACCAAGGCUUUGACGGGUAGCCGGCCUGAGAGGGUGACCGGCCACAUUGGGACUGAGAUACGGCCCAGACUCCUACGGGAGGCAGCAGUGGGGAAUAUUGCACAAUGGGCGGAAGCCUGAUGCAGCAACGCCGCGUGCGGGAUGACGGCCUUCGGGUUGUAAGCCGCUUUCGCCUGUGACGAAGCGUGAGUGACGGUAAUGGGUAAAGAAGAACCGGCUAACUACGUG